GCAUUAAUUAUGAACGAGCCAGCCAGUAGAUUAUAUCACAAGUGUCUGAACGCCCGCUGUCCAGAGGCAUAACCAUAGUCAUACUUUUUAAUGGCCCAUAAACCUAAAG
rnacentral:snoRNA from 1 species